UUGCUAUGAUGAAACUUAGUUUAUUGAUGGCAUUCGUAGAAUGCUUUGAGAUACUUCGGCAUUCAUGUCAAACCUGAGUAGUUUAUCUGAGCAA